CCAGUUUUUCCCUGCAUUUAAUAAUUUUGUUCCCUUUAAGGCAUGUUUUUAUUUUCUUGGCUGAAAAGGAGUAGCCUGAGAAGAAGUAACGUGUAGGAAGCCUUGGCCAUGGGACCAAUAGCCUCAUAAAUUCCUGAUCUCUGGAGGACAUCAGGGCCUCCUACCUGUUCCAUUGUGACCUGGGAGUCUCUCCAGCUCCAAGGUGGAGGGAUGGCUUCACUGAACACGGAGUCUGGAAUUCCGUGCACACUCAUGUGACCGGUGUUCCGGAAAAAGAAGCAGGAGGC
rnacentral:lncRNA from 1 species